AAAGAUUCAUCGCUGAUAGAUAGGCAUGCGUUCCAUUAGGCAGUUGGCGGGGUAACGGCCCACCAAACCGACGAUGGAUAGGGGUUCUGAGAGGAAGGUCCCCCACAUUGGUACUGAGACACGGACCAAACUCCUACGGGAGGCAGCAGUGAGGAAUAUUGGUCAAUGGCCGAGAGGCUGAACCAGCCAAGUCGCGUGAAGGAAGAAGGAUCUAUGGUUUGUAAACUUCUUUUAUAGGGGAAUAAAGUGGAGGACGUGUCCUUUUUUGUAUGUACCCUAUGAAUAAGCAUCGGCUAACUCCGUGCCAGCAGCCGCGGUAAUACGGAGGAUGCGAGCGUUAUCCGGAUUUAUUGGGUUUAAAGGGUGCGUAGGUGGUGAUUUAAGUCAGCGGUGAAAGUUUGUGGCUCAACCAUAAAAUUGCCGUUGAAACUGGGUUACUUGAGUGUGUUUGAGGUAGGCGGAAUGCGUGGUGUAGCGGUGAAAUGCAUAGAUAUCACGCAGAACUCCGAUUGCGAAGGCAGCUUACUAAACCAUAACUGACACUGAAGCACGAAAGCGUGGGGAUCAAACAGGAUUAGAUACCCUGGUAGUCCACGCAGUAAACGAUGAUUACUAGGAGUUUGCGAUACAAUGUAAGCUCUACAGCGAAAGCGUUAAGUAAUCCACCUGGGGAGUACGCCGGCAAGGGG
rnacentral:rRNA from 1 species